AGGUUGAUCGUUGGGCAGAGUGGUAACGCUCGCGACUUUGAUUUGUCAGAUCGUGGGUUCAAGGCCCACCACAGUCUG